CAUCAUUCUCACUUUCUCCUUGAGGACGAUUUUGCGGCCUGUUUCAGUGUCACUUAAAGCCCAGCUCUCAGUCUUCUGCUCUGUCAGCACAAGGUUUGCAGGAGGGCACGGAGGAGUAAAGAAAGGACAGAAGAAGUUACAGUGAUGCUUGAAAGUUCUUCAGAAUCAGAAUCAGAAUCAGAACAAUCUUUAUUGCCAGCCCACCAAGCUGCUACUGCUGAACCUAUUAGCCAGGCCCUUUGCUCAGUUGUAUAAAAAUCCAUCCAGAGCACCAGAGAAACAAAAACCCCCCACAUAUCAACCACCCGUAUGGAGUCGAAGGUAAAGAGCAGUGUGAAACCAGGUACCAAAACGGAGAAGAAAGAAGUGGCACCCCCUCCAAAACUGAAUCCUGCUGAACCUGCGCCACCUGCAGAGGUGGAAAAACCAGCACAAGAUGGCAACCAAGAGGGAGCGCAGGAAGAAAACGAGGCAGCUGGAGGCUGCUGUGAAACCCUGGAGAACCUGAAGCCGUUCCUCAUUGGUGGAGCUAUAGUAGCACUCGGAGCCGUGUUUGUGGGCUUGGUCUUAUUAGCCAGAAAGAAGUGACUAUGAUGUGAUUGUCCAACAGGUUCACGGGUGCCUGGGGCACAGCUUGGGGGGCAGGGGAGGGGAGUGCUUAAAAACAGGGGGGAAGGGGGGGUUUCACACCAUAGUCCACAUUAAGCUUUCAUUUAAGCUGUGUGUUAUCAUCACAGUCAUCACUGUAGGAAUAGGAGCUCACAUGAGCCAUGUUCAGAUGCAAAAGCGACACUAAUAAACACUCAGAUCCUGACAGAUUAAACGACUCUACAAAGAUAAAAGGCAACUAGUAACUUGCCUAGAGAUGUAGCAAACAUGCUAUCCUAGCAAAAAACUCAUUAUAAAUGUCUAAUAAUCAUAAAGCUCACUUGCUUAUCAGCAAUUUUACAUGCUAGCUGAUGUAGCCAAUGUUAGUUUACACAGCAGUGCAGUUUUAUUCCUAUUAAUAGAGACAAUACGUUCUGCCAGUCAUCCUGGAGAUCAGAGUCAGAGCUGUUGCAUCAGAUUUAGUUAUUUUAGAGCCCAAAUUACAACACACCAUUGCACCACAGACAUUGGAUGCCCAACAACAUCAGGGUGGACGGCAUUGUAUUUUCUCAAUCAGAUUGUUUAUAGCUGCUGUUUCUUACAGCCUUUGUGCUCUAUAACCUGUAAAGCAAAAGUCAGGAUUGUUUAUUAUUAUUGUCCUUUUUGCAAGCAGACUGAAACCCAUCUAUUUCUUAGUGACCAUAAAUUGCAAAGAAAUGAAAAAUUAAAGUUUAGAAAACACAUUAACGGAAACACACUAGACAGAUGACGGGCAUGACGGAGCUGCAGCUCACUGUUUUAUAGCCAUUCAGUAAUGUCAGUAAGACACAUGUACUGAAACACACUGCCUUUAUCUGGACAUGUAACCAGGUAUCAAGGACAAUGAAGAGUCUGUGUUCCCUCAAGUGCGUAUGUUAUGCAAUAAUAUAAAUAGCACUCUGUAGAUCUACUGAGAGAAGCGUGUGAUGGAGAUGACAAGCUGAAUGAAUGUGCUGAAAAUUCUAUGAAAUAUGAAAUGUAAAUGUGUUUCAGAAAUAUGAAGCUCUAACAGAUAUAUUUUCCUGGUUGUUUUGCGCUCCACCCCACCCCUAACAACCCCCCUCCCCCUCCCCCUUCUUAUGUACAAUAAAAUCAUGAUGUCUGAAACACAAUGUGUUUGGUUUAAGCUUUUUUUUUUCAGAGUGCCUGUGUUAUUCAGUCUGUGCUGAAGGACAUUAGUUUUAUUUGUAGAGAUAAAUUUUAAUCUGACUUCUAAACCAUAUGGCCAUGUGCACCACUGACCCCACACCCACACGUAUGUCUGUUAAACGUCUCAUUCCGAAUGAGCUCCUCUCUUCUGUUUUGUGAAGGUUUUCCACAAGAUGUUGGAUUGUGGUUGUGGGGAUUAGUGAUCAUUCAGCUACAAGAGCAUCAGUGAGAUCAGACUCUGGGACAUUGUUAUACUGGAACAGGGUGUGUAGCUCCAUUAAAAGGGACAUCGUAAAGCUACAGCACACAGGUAUUUAGUAAGUGUUGAGUAUAACUUCAGACUUUGUGGACAACCACAUGUGUGUGUGAUGAUGGUCAGGGGGCACAUACUUUGGGCCAUAGUAAAUCUAACAGACUACAGUUCCACUGUAGUAAGUAUGUGCAAAAAGACACCUAAUAGGCACAACCUUUAAAGCAACGCAUUUAUUCAGUUGUAAUAAAUUGUAUUUAUUUGCUAAAAGAGUUUAAGUUCACUGUAUGUUUUUAGUAGUUUGUGUUUCUCUCCGGAACUGUUUUCACCCCGAACUCGUUUCUUUCCGUGCCAUUUUUUCCGUGAACACGACAAACCGGAAGCGACACGCUUUCCUCGUUUGUUUUGAAGAACGUGUUGUGUUUUCUCACGCAGUCUGUUUGUGCAGGAGAUCAGACAUGAUUAUCCCAAUCCGCUGCUUCACCUGUGGGAAGAUUGUAGGGAACAAGUGGGAGGCUUACCUGGGACUCCUACAGGCAGAAUACACAGAGGGAGAUGCUCUGGAUGCUCUGGGCUUGAAGAGAUACUGCUGUCGCAGGAUGCUGCUGUCUCACGUCGAUCUGAUCGAGAAACUGCUGAACUACGCACCACUGGAGAAAUAAGACUCGUUUCAGAUCUCUCUCUCUCUCUCUCUCUCUCUCUCUCUCUCUCUCUCCCCCCUGGUUGUGUUCACUCAUUCUUUUCCCAAUGUUUUAUAAAUAAAGUAGUAAAGACCA